rnacentral:rRNA from 1 species
AUUGAACGCUGGCGGCAGGUCUAACACAUGCAAGUCGAGCGAGAGGCGGGCGGGUGAGUAAUGUCUGGGAAACUGCAUGAUGGAGGGGGAUAACAACUGGAAACGGUAGCUAAUACCGCAUACGAUCAGAUGUGCCCCGAUGGGAUUAGCUAGUAGGUGGGGUAACGGCGCACCUAGGCGCCGAUCCCUAGCUGGUCUGAGAGGAUGAUCAGUCACACUGGAACUGAGACACGGUCCAGACUCAUACGGGAGGCAGCAGUGGGGAAUUUUGGACAAUGGGCGAAAGCCUGAUCCAGCCAUGCCGCGUGUGUGAAGAAGGCCUUCGGAUUGUAAAGCACUUUUAGUUGGGAGGCGUUACCAACAGAAUAAGCACCGGCUAACUUCGUGCCAGCAGCCGCGGUAAUUC